rnacentral:rRNA from 1 species
UAGGGAAUCUUCCACAAUGGGCGAAAGCCUGAUGGAGCAACGCCGCGUGUGUGAUGAAGGGUUUCGGCUCGUAAAACACUGUUGUAAGAGAAGAAUGACAUUGAGAGUAACUGUUCAGUGUGUGACGGUAUCUACCAGAAAGGAACGGCUAAAUACGUGCCAG